CAGAUAGAAGUCACUUAUACUAGCCAAGGAGACUGCCUGUGAAUCCAAAAUGGUUUCUGAGGCCAGUAAAGCCAUCAGGAGGACACAGGCAAGUCAUCCUUGGCUACCAAAGAUGGACUCUUAUCU
rfam:Musa acuminata subsp. malaccensis Doubled-haploid Pahang (DH-Pahang) genomic chromosome, chr8